AAAAGGUGACAGUCCAACUUUUAAGGACCUACAGAUUAAACCUUAUCUAUAAGAGUUUAGCUCAUUCAGGUAAAUUGGCUUAGGAAGUGGUUCCACUAAAAUAGUGAGAAUACUCUGGAUUUGAUUUGCUUCCUAUUGAUUCAGGUUAAACUGGUAAGGAUUUCAGUUAUAUUGCCAAGGUUUGUGUAGACAAAACAAGUCUUGUUUACCGGUGACCCAAGGGUUGGGAGGAUGUGUUGCUAAUUGUAGAUAUGUGUGUGCACACUGGUGUUGUUUAGAGGCUGAGAAGGAAGACGGGGUAAUAGCAGAUCAACAAGAGGGCAUAGGAACGUGUAAAAUGGAAUAGAGACUUACCUACUAGGAACUGGCUGUGUGCCUGUGUCUGGAAAGUGCUACAUGCCCAAUAGUCUACCAGAUGUUGUCCCAAUCAUAACAACAGAAUGAAAACAGAUUCUGAGAGAAAAAUCCCUGCUCUGUCCCCAGGCUUGACAUCACUAACUACAUUACUGUCUACCUGGCUUGUCUCUAGGGGUGCAGUGAUAACACUUUCAACAAGGGGGAAAUAAUGACUGUGGAAAGACCAUAUAAACUGCACAAUGCAAGAUUUGAGCAGCUCCACAAUUUUCCUGUGGCA
rnacentral:lncRNA from 1 species